CUGGGCGUAAAGAGCUCGUAGGUGGUUUGUCGCGUUGUUCGUGAAAUCUCACGGCUUAACUGUGAGCGUGCGGGCGAUACGGGCAGACUUGAGUACUGCAGGGGAGACUGGAAUUCCUGGUGUAGCGGUGGAAUGCGCAGAUAUCAGGAGGAACACCGGUGGCGAAGGCGGGUCUCUGGGCAGUAACUGACGCUGAGGAGCGAAAGCGUGGGGAGCGAACAGGAUUAGAUACCCUGGUAGUCCACGCCGUAAACGGUGGGUACUAGGUGUGGGUUUCCUUCCUUGGGAUCCGUGCCGUAGCUAACGCAUUAAGUACCCCGCCUGGGGAGUACGGCCGCAAGGCUAAAACUCAAAGAGAUUGACGGGGGCCCGCACAAGCGUCGGAGCAUGUGGAUUAAUUCGAUGCAACGCGAAGAACCUUACCUGGGUUUGACAUGCACAGGACGCCGGCAGAGAUGUCGGUUCCCUUGUGGGCCUGUGUGCAGGUGGUGCAUGGCUGUCGUCAGCUCGUGUCGUGAGAUGUUGGGUUAAGUCCCGCAACGAGCGCAACCCUUGUCUCAUGUUGCCAGCGGGUAAUGCCGGGGACUCGUGAGAGACUGCCGGGGUCAACUCGGAGGAAGGUGGGGAUGACGUCAAGUCAUCAUGCCCCUUAUGUCCAGGGCUUCACACAUGCUACAAUGGCCGGUACAAAGGGCUGCGAUGCCGCGAGGUUAAGCGAAUCCUUUUAAAGCCGGUCUCAGUUCGGAUCGGGGUCUGCAACUCGACCCCGUGAAGUCGGAGUCGCUAGUAAUCGCAGAUCAGCAACGCUGCGGU
rnacentral:rRNA from 1 species